rnacentral:rRNA from 1 species
GACGAACGCUGGCGGCGUGCUUAACACAUGCAAGUCGAACGGAAAGGCCCUGCUUUUGUGGGGUGCUCGAGUGGCGAACGGGUGAGUAACACGUGAGUAACCUGCCCUUGACUUUGGGAUAACUUCAGGAAACUGGGGCUAAUACCGGAUAGGAGCUCCUGCUGCAUGGUGGGGGUUGGAAAGUUUCGGCGGUUGGGGAUGGACUCGCGGCUUAUCAGCUUGUUGGUGGGGUAGUGGCUUACCAAGGCUUUGACGGGUAGCCGGCCUGAGAGGGUGACCGGCCACAUUGGGACUGAGAUACGGCCCAGACUCCUACGGGAGGCAGAAGUGGGGAAUAUUGCACAAUGGGCGGAAGCCUGAUGCAGCAACGCCGCGUGCGGGAUGACGGCCUUCGGGGUGUAAACCGCUUUCGCCUGUGACGAAGCAUGAGUGACGGUAAUGGGUAAAGAAGCACCGGCUAACUACGUG